AGCAUAUCAAUAAGCGGAGGAAAAGAAACUAACAAGGAUUCCCUUAGUAACGGCGAGCGAACAGGGAAAAGCUCAUAACCGAAUCCUGUAGCGUGAUGCUAUUAGGAAAUGUGGUGUUUGGGUGUCCUUAUGUGAUUUGACUCUUAUUCUAAGUCCACGUGAUUGUGGCUCAUUCCCCAUGGAGGGUGCAAGGCCCGUAAGAAUUUGAGUCUUAUUACUUUUAGGCACCCUUGAGUCGGGUUGUUUGGAAAUGCAACCUAAAGUGGUGGUAAACUCCAUCAAAAGCUAAAUACAACACGAGUCCGAUAGCGAACAAGUACCAUGAGGUAAAGUUGAAAAGAACUUUGAAGAGAGAGUUCAAUAGUACGUGAAACCGCUUAGAGGUAAGCGGAUAGAGCUGAAAGUGGUGUGGUGAUUUAGUUCUUCCGAUUCAUUUUGUUGGUUAUACAGAUUUUUAUUGACUGUUAACCGUUUUUAUAAGAAUUGGUUGAGCGUUUAUCCCAUGCCUUAAUCACGAUCAACGCUGUAUACAGGUCUGUCAUAUGAGAGAGGUACCCGUUUUGGUUUUUAACCGUAGUGGUUUUUAUAAUCUCAUGUACAGAGCUUGUAUUGUGUUGUGCAUGGCGGUGCAAGUUUUAACGCACAAGUAAUGACAUUCUAUGGUUGUAUAAAUAUGACUCUUAUAGAGUCAUGUAUGAACUAAUUGAAUUAUUGUUGUUGCCUCUGUGUCUUGUUACCAAUAGUCGUGAUUUUUUUGUAAGCUUUCUAUCCGACCCGUCUUGAAACACGGACCAAGGAGUCUAACAUGUACGCAAGUCAUUGGGUUCUACGAAACCUAAAGGCGAAUUGAAAGAGAAGGAUUGCUUUUCGUAAUCUGAGGUAUGAUCCGUGCCCUCAUGAGGGUGUGGCGCAAUACCGGCUUGUCUCAUGUUUUUUAAACGAGGCAACGCAAGAGCGUACAUGAUGGUACCCGAAAGAUGGUGAACUAUGCUUGCAUAGGUUGAAGCCAGAGGAAACUCUGGUGGAGGACCGAAGCGCUUCUGACGUGCAAAUCGAUCGUCUAAUGUGAGUAUAGGGGCGAAAGACUAAUCGAACCAUCUAGUAGCUGGUUCCCUCCGAAGUUUCCCUCAGGAUAGCUGGCACUUGGGAAACAGACAGUUUUAUCCGGUAAAGCGAAUGAUUAGAAGUAAUGGGGACGAACUGUUCUCAACUUAUUCUCAAACUUUAAAUGGGUAAGAUGCCAUACUCGCUUAAAUGGAGUGUGUCAUCGAAUGUAAGUGCCUAGUGGGCCAUUUUUGGUAAGCAGAACUGGCGAUGUGGGAUGAACCAAAAGAGGCGGUUAAGGUGCCUAAAUCAGCGCUCAUGACAAAACACAAAAGGUGUUGGUUGAUAUAGACAGCAGGACGGUGGCCAUGGAAGUUGGAAUCCGCUAAGGAGUGUGUAACAACUCACCUGCCGAAUCAACCAGCCCUGAAAAUGGAUGGCGGUUGAGCGUUGUACCUAUACCGUUCCGUUACUAUAAGCACUGAGCAAGGAUAUAGUAACGUGUAGGAGGGCGACGUGGUAAGCAUUGAAGCCUAGAGUGUAAACUCUGGUGGAGCUGCCAUGUGUGCAGAUCUUGGUGGUAGUAGCAAGUAUUCAAGUGAGAUUCUUGAA
rnacentral:rRNA from 1 species